AAGAUUCCAACCACUCUACAGUGUUGGUGUUUCAUUCCAUCGCUAGCAGUCUCCCAAGUGAGCCAGGCUGGUGAGCCAGGCAGAACUCUGGACUGGAGUGAAGAAAUCCUGAGGCAGGAGCUGCUUGAUCUGCAAGCGACGAGGCCACUGUGGCCAGAGAGGGCGAAAACAAGGAUUGAAAGGAUGCACUUUGGAGUUUUGCACUGUUGGACAUCCAAUUUAUGUGGUUGUGAAGAACUGCUAAGCAGUUUAUCUUCUAUCCAUUUUAACGAUCAAAACUGAAUUCCGAUGAAGCCCUUCUACUAUGACUACUGUACUAUUCUGUACUGCCUGUUGUUGACAAAGUGACCGUGUGACAAAUUGACAGCCACCUUUAAUAAAUGUGGUUGUAAGCAAACUAUCCUGCAUAAAGCCCUACAAGUUGAGUCAGGCUUUGGGGACAAAAUAUCAUGAAGCAUGAAACCAGAGUGUCUAAGCACGGGUAUCUUCCAAGAGAUUCGAAACAUCAGAAUAAACAAGUGAGAAUAGCCUCUUCCGAUUCAACAAACCUAAGCCAGACUAAAGGAGGACGUGGGCAUCAUGUGAAUUCAAAACUAAUUGGCUUUAUUAUUUCCUGCUGCUGCAGGACAACAAACAGCUGACUCCUUUUUUCACUUUCUAAAAGCAAAAAGGUUGGUGCUGGUUGUCACCAUGAACAUCCAAUGACUGGUUCAUUCUUGCACAAGUGGAACCCAUGGGAAAUGCUGCCAAUAACUUGGUCUAUUCCUUAUCUUCCAUUCUCAGCAGACAACAGAUUCGUCUAUUUUUUUUACAAAGAAGCAUACAUUUUUCAGUUAGUAUACAAACAACAACACUAUGUGAUUCCUUUUGGUCUCAGUCCUCAGGGCUUUGGAGAAAGGAGAAGAAAACCAAAGCAUUUGGAGCAUCAGUGUGGCUGGACCAAGCUUCUCAUAGCCUCCAGGGAAGGCCCACUGCUUGCGGGGAAGUCCCGCUCAGAGACAUGCACUGAGCCAGCUCGCCAGGUUCUUCUGUCCAUGGGAUAGUCCAGACAAGAAUACUGGAGUGGAUUGCCGUGCCCUCCUCCAGGAGAUCUUCCUGACACGGGGAUCGAAGCCACUUCGUUUAUGUCUCCUACACUGGCAGGUGGGUUCUUUACCACUAGCGCCACCUGAGAAGCCCUACCUUAGAACCUGCCUUACCGUGACUUUGCACCCGAACCACUAAGAGAACAACAUUUGAAGUCACAUGAGGACAAUAUCACCUGCUUUUCCCUCAGUCUUAAGGUUUAGAGCAAGUAUACUUUCAGCAGCCACACUAAACCUCUCUCCCUAGACUAUCUGCUCUCCAAUCAACCUUUUCCCAGCAUUACAUGCAUUUCAGUACUUUUUCCCUUCUCGAAUGAAGAAAAGCAUUCUUUCUGAGACACGUUUUUGAAGCAAUAAACAGCUCACUUCUUUGUGGGAAAAUAGGCAAUUUUCAAGUAACCUUUGGAAGCAUCUAAAUAACCCACACAUAUUUAUGGCUGAGUGACUCUUUGGAUGGAAGAAACUUUAAGCCUGUAUUUGCAAAGAUUUCCAUUAACAUCUUUGAGCCACCUCUCAUCUCAUUUUAAAACAAAUGGCUCACUCAACAGAAGAGAAUCAGGGUUGUCGUUUUUUUUUUUUCUUUUCCCUCUCUCUCUCUCCUCCCUGGCUU
ensembl:lncRNA